GGUCAAGUGAAUAAGUGCAUACGACGGAUGCCUUGGCAGUAGAAGGCGAUGAAGGACGUGAUAAUCUGCGAUAAGCUUCGGUUAGCUGAUAAUAAGCUCUAACCCGGAGAUCUCCGAAUGGGAAAACCCAGUGAUCAUAAGAUCAUUAUCCUUAACUGAAUACAUAGGUUAAGGAGGCAAACCUAGGGAACUGAAACAUCUAAGUACCUAGAGGAAAAGAAAUCAACCGAGAUUCCCUUAGUAGCGGCGAGCGAACGGGGACCAGCCCUUAAGCAAUUUUUUGAUUAGUAGAAUGUUCUGGAAAGUUCAACGACACAGGGUGAUAGUCCCGUAUACGAAAAUCUUUUAAUUGUGAAAUCGAGUAAGGCGGCGCACGUGAAACGCUGUUUGAAUAUGGGGGGACCACCCUCCAAGGCUAAAUACUCUCUACUGACCGAUAGUGAACAAGUACCGUGAGGGAAAGGCGAAAAGAACCCCGGGAGGGGAGUGAAAUAG
rnacentral:rRNA from 1 species